ensembl:lncRNA
AGGCUCCAUGGAACCCUCCUGUGCCCUUGUGACGAGCUCACCCCUCCCUGGGAACAGGGUCUUCUUUCUAGCAGAUCGGAGAGUUGUAGGAACACAAUGCAAAAUGAUUGCGAGUGAGCCGCUGGAAAUGAUGGCCCUUGACCAGCCAGCCAGUGAUUCACUGCUGCUCAGAAGCAUAUAUCUCCAUCUUCGGCCACUUCUCACUCCAUCAAAUGCUCACAACUGAAAUUCCUGCUCAGAGCUCUGCCCACCAGGAGGACUUUGCUUCUAUACUGCAUUUUAAGGCCACCACUGCCUAGGGCUUUAGUGUGGCUGCAGUCCACUUGCAGCUCACACCAUCCUACCAGUGAGCUGAUCCAUUCGUGAAGCAGGCCAAGAGAUGUUCUUUCUCCAUCAUCCAUCACUGGGAAGUCCUCACAAGACCGGAAGUGUGAGCUGCAGGAGAGGCAUCAGUACAACAGAAUCCGUGACAUGGGCCACCUCUGAGCCACCUGCUUGUGUGACCCAUUUGUGCCCGCUGAACUUCCUCAGGCCUGAACGUACCAUUUCCACCAUGGGUCCACACGGUUCACUACGGUGCCUGCCUGACCUUGUUAUGACUUGAUGGACCUAACGAUACCAGGCUCAUGAUAGGCGGCGCCUGUCUCACAAUCACAUGGUGCCUGUCCACUGGUCAGUGUCUACUGAAGCCCAGGAGUUGCUUUUUGAAGGAAUAGUUCCUUCAUGCAAAAGGCAUGGCCUAGAGGACUGUACCAUGCACCUCCUAUCGGGGUUUGCCAGAGACUCUGCCCAAUAUCCCUGUCUCAUGGGACAUCUCUAACCCUACAGCCAAGUGGCAGAGCAACUUGUCCUGCAGUCUGGUGCUAAGGCAGAGGCCCCUCUUCCUCUGGGCCUCACUUGCAAUUGUUAGACCCCUGACUGCUAAAUAAAUUGGCAUAGUAUUCUUAGUGUAGCAUAUACUUCCCAAAUCCAAAGGACCCAUCAAACAUGUGUACCUUGCUUAGCAAGGAGGAGUAUAAGGUACAAUAACCUGUUCUUUACCUCAGAAGGAAUGUGCCAGCAUGCCUCAGACCUAGACUGAUUUGCAGCAUGCGAACUCUUAGCUGCCCCAUGUGCGAUCUGGUUUCUAGUUUCCCAGGGGUCGAAUCCAGGCCUCCUGAAUAGGGAGCACGGAGUCUCAGCCCGAGGACCACCAGGGAAGUCCCACGUAUGUGCCUUAUUAGGAUAUUCAGAGUAACACCAUAUUUCUGUUUACCAGGUCCAAGUAACGUGAUGUCAUCAACACAGUAGACCAAAGUGAUGUUCUGCAGAAGGUCAGGAUGAUGAAGUCUUUGUAGACUACACUGUGAUAGAGAGCAGGAGAGUUACCAUCAUCUCAAGGCAUGACCAUGAAUAUGGCUGCUCUCCCCACAUACACCAGAAAUGCUCUUGGUUCUCCUUACUAAUGGGGAUUGAAAAGAGCAUAUGGACAGACCUAACAUGAUCUAGCAUGAUCCAAAUGGUUUCACAGAUACUUAAUACAGGCAGAUUCAAUGGGGGCUAUAAUGGGAGCCAUCACCUCUGUAUCCUUUAAGUCUUUCACAGAGACAUUAACUUCUGAGCUCAAGUAAAUUGCCAACCUACAGAUUCAGGAACUAAAUAAGCAGUUCUAGUUUUAAGCUACUAAAUUUGGGACAUGGUUGUCAUGUAGCAAAAGCUGCACUGGAUAUGCAGGCUGGGAAUAUAAAGAGCGAUCUGAACAGGGCAUAUAGAUUUAGGAGACAGAAGAUGGGAAGCGAAGUCAAGGCAGUGGGUGAGACUAUCCUGAGAAGUCAUGUAGAGAACAGCUUGAGACCCCCAGAGUCAACACUACCAAACUAAGUUCAGUGAUUCCUACCUCAGAAAAUGGCACCUUCGUGACUUCCCUGGUGGUCCAGUUGCUAAGACUCCAAGCUCCCAACACAAGGGGCUUGGGUUCAAUCCCUGCUCAGCGAACUAAGAUCCCUCAGGCCCUAACUAAGAGUUCCAGUGUCACCACUAAAGAUCCCAUAUGCCGCAACUAAGAUCUGGUGCAGCCAAAUAAAUAAAUGUA